rnacentral:misc_RNA from 1 species
UCUCCGUAGGUGAACCUGCGGAGGGAUCAUUACUGAGUGAGGGCUUCGGUCCGACCUCCAACCAUUUGUGAACCAAACUUGUUGCUUCGGGGGCGACCCAGCAGCUUCGGCGGUGCGGCGCCCCCGGAGGCCAUUAAACACUGCAUCAUUGCGUCGGAGUUAAAGUAAAUUAAACAAAACUUUCAACAACGUAUCUCUUGGUUCUGGCAUCGAUGAAGAACGCAGC